CCCAACACCCCCAACCCCCCCAUCUGACCGAGAGGCAGAGAGAGAGAAUGACUGACGUAAUUAAUUUACACCGGGUGUGUGUGUGAGAGUGUGCGUGUGCGUGAGUGUGUGCGUGUGUGUGUGUGUGUGUGUGAGAGUGUGUGUGUGCGCGUGUGUGUGUGUGUGUGUGUGUGCGUGUGUGCGUGUGUGCGUGUGCGAGCGCAGACUUGUUCAUUGUCGCAGCAUCAUCACGUCUCUCGGCGGGAGGCUCGUCGUUUUAUUCGGGUGUCGUUGUUGUUCGAGGUUAUGAAAUCUUUUCCAUUGGACGCUGUAGUGGAUUUUGUCUCCAUCGUCUUGGACUGAUGUUACCGAUCUGACGUCCUGCUGUGAAGAUCGAUGAUGAAUGUUUAUGAUUUCCACUCAUGUUGCUCUUUUUAACCACACACAGGAUGCAGAAUGUCACAUGCCAAGUAGCAUUUUUCUGUCAUUUAUUCCACAAUCUUUUCACAAACAGACCAACAGAAAAAGUCACCACUGAGCCCCCCCCCGCGCCUUCCUGCCCCCCUGCUCAUGAAGUCCACUGGCAAUGCACUACUCGUAAUGAAGGCUCUCCUCGCAUUGAUGAAGUUUAAUUUAAGAUGAAUGACAGAGAAAUCAUGCAGGUUAUGAUUUAUCCUAAAUGAUACUUCUAAAAAGCCCCUCCAGGCAGAGCAUGCUGAGCCCCCCUGGAUCCCCCAUCUGAUCACUUGCUCCCGGUGCUUUUACAGGUUUUUCUUUCUUUUCUCAACGGCAAAAUGAAAAUGUCAGGUGUGCGCCGGGGAGAUUUCGACCAACUAAUUGUGAUUCCUGAGCACAACUCGUUGCUGCAUUCAGACCAACGUUCAUUCCCACUAGUUUUUCAUGACCAGUUUCACCUUCCAACCUGCUCCUUUCCUUUCAUGGAGGGUGAGCCCCCCGCGCCUUGCAAUAAGACCCCGACAUUGCACAUUCCAGCAUGUGACAGCCGUGUUAAGGGAGCACACAGCACACGCCUCGCAGGGAACGCCAUCCAGCAGCUUUGGUAGGGAGGUCAAUGAGUUUCACUUCAGCAAUCAACCACUUUUAUAUUUAUUAUUAGUGUUGUUGUUUUUUUCUUUUUUAGUCGUUGAUGUGUUCUGAUAUCUUGUUCUGUGACUACCAAAGAUAAACUACAGAGUUGUGUGUUUCAUGCAAUAGCAGAUAAGGCCAAAUAUCUCCUCAAAAAUGCUCCUCAAACUGGUGUUUUCGUUCUAGUUUUUAAAUUUUCUUUCUCCAUAAAAACCAAACCGAACAGGACGGCCAAAGUAGGAGUGUUUUUUAGUACUUUAGUUUGGGCCGGCGGGCGGAGAAGGAAGCUCUUUGGUCAGCGGGUGUGUGUGUGUGUGUGUGUUUGUGCGCAAUAUAAAGGGGACGUAGAUUUAGUCAAGGAGGGAAAAAAAUGGGAAACGCUUUGCAGGGAACAAUGUGAACGGAUUGUAUUCUUCGACUGGGCCACACGAUCUACAGUCUCUCUUCUUUAAUUCCUUUUCUUCAUUUGUGUCCUUUGAAAUGAUUGUAUGCCACUUUUUAGGUGUUUUAGCGUCUUUUGGCAAGACUUUAUGAUUGUGUUUAGUUUCUGUCAACUUAUUACUUUUUAUAUUAAAAAAACACUCCUGUCAACGACUAAGCUGGGUACAAGGUACUUUAUGGCAGUUAUUGUUAUAUUUCAUUUAUAGUUCAGCGCUCAUUAGCUAAUGAGAGGAAAAGGGCAGUCUGUGGUUAAUAUCCAGGCAGCUGUGCGAUGGGUCAGUUCCAGCCAGGCCGGGAUCGUGAGAACAGGGCCCAAACCCCCCGGCCCCCCGGCCCCCCCUCCCGGUCAUCUGGCUGGUUUGUUUGGUAUUAAAAAGGGGAAACCGCUGGUAGAUUAGAACGUUCUCAGCACGUGCAGCUCGACAUUACUAAAGAUAACGGCAUGAGAGAAGAGGUCUGUCCGCAGACCUCAGAUCAGACCUUUAGGGAGUGAUUCCAUUCAACCACAAAGACAACAAACGUUUCCCUCAGUUGCACUUAGUUGUAUGUCUUGCAUGUGUAGUUAAAGAUACUUUAAAGAGUAAACUACAAAAAAAAACAGAGGAAUGAAAUUCCAGCUUAUUUAUCUCCACGGUUUCAUCGUCAAACAUCAAACCUCAGGCUUUUUGUUCAUGGAAACGUCCCCCAGCUUCACCCGGUCCUCUCCUUCUAAGGGCGUUCCCAUGUUUCCGUUGUACAUACAUGUGCGUUUGGCCUUUGUCUCUUUCCCGUCAGUCCGUCUGACUUUUUCUUUUUUCUUUUUUGAGAUCAAAAAAUACAUUUGUGUUCUGACGUUUGCUUCAUUGCGACUGCUUUGUAUUGACUAUGAAAUCGCUAUGAGAAGAAAAAGAACUGCUGUAUGUAUCGGAAAAGCAAACUGUGCUGCAAAUGUAUUUUACUUAGUAAUCCUUGCUUUAAAAAAAUGAAAAAAGGGAAGAAAAAAAAUCACAUCAUCCUGACAGACUUUUAUCUGUUAUCAUUGACCUAAGCAUUUUGUACAGGUUGUUCCCCUUUUUGUGUUAAGCUGUUUUUUGAUACUUUUGAAGAUUCCUGCGCUGACAGAAGGGCAGACAUCGUAUUUCCUCGUGCAUGACUAAUCCCAGGGUCACAGACGGGGGGUGGAAGUGGUCAGUAAUAAUAUAAGGGUGUAUCAAGCUAAUGAUAUUUUAUAUGAAAUGAAUAGGAAAAAGAAAAAAAUAUGCAGUGCCAAGAUGUAAAGAAUAUUGUUGAAUGCUGUUUUGUUGUUUUUUUUUUCUUUUCUUUAUAAAGUUUGUUUCACUCGCGCAUCCAAGAUGUGUCGUCCUGCACCGCGUCAUGUAGGUAAAACACACGUUUCUGUUCGCCAACAUAUUUAUAUUUUAACGGGUCCAACCGAGCACAGCAGGCGGGUCAGAGGCCGGACGCUGAACCAACAACGCCGCCGCUUCAUCCAUGAGCAGCCAUCCAGCCCGCUGUCAGCCCGCCCCCCUGAUGGAGGGGGAGGGGGGGGGGGGGGCAUCAAACCCAGGAGCUGUCACUCAGCUCUCAUCCCGCAGCAGCUUUUCCUUUUCUUCCUCGUUCUUUUUUCUUUGAAGUUUCUCUGUAGUUUUCUUUUUUUUUUAUAGAGAAAUAUUAUUGCUCAUCACUUCAUCAGUGUGUAACCUCCUCGUCAUUCCCCGUCUGUCUGACACAGACCACUCUGUUGUAGUCAGUGGCGCUGACUGACGUGAGCAUUCUAAACAUGCAAUAAAAUGCUGGUUGUUCAGAUCCUUUGCUGCAAGUCUGGUUGAUUCUAACGUUCCUUCUCAUCGUCUCACUGGAUGCAGAACGAGUCUGAGGACAUUCGUCUUAGAUCUCGGCAAAACAAAGGCUGUGUGCACUGACUGCAAGGUCAGUUAAUGCAUCAAAGGUGAAGAAAACGUACGACAGUAACUCGUAUUUCCAGAUAUGUAUUAUAAUGCAAACAAACGGGGCAUGAAAAACCUCUUUGUCAUUAUUUUGUCCGUCGAUCUGUUUGCUGCAGACCUGUUUGUCAUCUGCGCCAGAACUCUCAUCAGCACCAACAUUAAAUCGUAUCGUAAAUAAAAAGGCAGUUAAA
ensembl:lncRNA